rnacentral:tRNA from 1 species
GUGGUUGUGGCUCAGUGGUAGAGUGCUCGCCUAGUACCCGUGAGGCACUGAGUUCAAACCUCAGCACCACA